UACACACCGCCCGUCACACCAUGGGAGUUGGUUUUACCUUAAGACGGUGUGCUAACCAGCAAUGGAGGCAGCCGGCCACGGUAAGUCAGCGACUGGGUG
rnacentral:rRNA from 1 species